AUUACCCGCUUGGCAAAGAGUAACUCAUUUUGAUGCCUCUCGCUACCCCUGGCCUUAGUUUUAAAGGAAUCAUGCGACACACUCGCACUCCACUACCCCAUCCCAUGGAAAAACGCUCCCACCAUCGAGGUGUUGACCAAAAUUUCGCUAUGUGCAUGAGACACACACUCGCACUCCUCCAGCCCUCCACAGCUGAACGCUCCCACCGUUGCGAAGUUUGCGAGAAUUUUUGCUCUGAGCGUGAGACCCUGAAGCGCAAGAGAUGACACUAUGUGUGAAAGACAGUCAUAAUUCGAUAUGGUCAAAAUGCGCCGAUUGUCGUUUCAUUUAUCUGGUAAUGAUGUAUUCACUUCAUCAAAAUUUUAAACGUUCACAACUAGACUGAUAACAAUAUUUGAAUUUUUAAUCAGAAUAAAACCAAUUCAUUUGAAGCAAAAUAAAUUCCAUUAUACUUUAUUUUGACCAUAUGAUCAACACUUGUACAUAGUGCCAUUUACUUUGUGUUCUUCACUCUCGCGCUGUGUUUUGAUCGUUCGAAACUCAUUGCCAGAACGAAUGCAAAUUUCAUAUGGGAAUGAUCGGUGCCGGAAGAGGCAGCGAAAAUUAUGAAAUGAUAAUAGAAAAGUGGUUAAGUUAAUCGUGAAAGAUGUCAACGCAGACGUAAAUGUAGUAUGUUUUGUUACAUGAUCUACGGCUAUUUCAUUACCAAAGCUCCUGAUAACAGAUCAAAGCAGAUGGAUCGGGCAUACAGAGUCGCCGUUUAAUUUAAAAUAUCUGCGUGAUCGCAAACGCAUCAAACAGCAAGUGUUUUUCCUUCCAACAGCACGCACCAUCGGUGGAGCAGCAGCUAACGUUUUGUUCGCCUAGCGCGCACCAUCAAGAAUUGAUAUUUUGCCAAACAGUACUGUGAAUAAAAAACUGCACACUUACUGUAGGAAUUUCCUGGAAUUUUUUGGUCGGCCUACGCUCGCGGGAAUGGUAGGUCCGUUGAGAGAAGGAAAGAAAGGGUGGGAGCGAGGAUUAACCAAAAACGCGGCAUUGAGAAUGAGGGGAGGUGCGCUCAGCGCUCACGCUGGGACACUCACGAUGCUUGAAAUAAAAUGUUAACAAGCAUCGAUUUCAAGCAUGCAUGUCGCGCGACAUUUUGCCAAGCGGGUACC